GAAAAGGCUUGCUGCAGAAUAAACUUCACUCCAAUGAGUGCUGCUUUCUCUGUAUCAACAACAGUCAGAAAAAUGGCUAAGAGCAUUUUCUUACCUCCUUCUUGGGCUCCGUCGACAAAAUUGCCCAUCUUUCAAUUGUCAUGUCGAGCAAAUUUGAAGCAGCUUAACUCAUCAAGAAAUAUUCAUGCUUGUCUACUCAAGUAUCCUCUUGCAAGCAAGAUCAUGAUUAGAAACUUACCAUAUACUGCUAGUGAAAGUAGUUUGCUGAAGGAAUUCUCCAAGUAUGGCAAGAUAGCUGAAGUUAAGCUUGUCAAGGAUGAAAAGGCAAAUAGGUCAAAAGGACUUGCAUUUAUCCAAUAUACUUCCCAGGAAGAUGCUUUACUUGCUGUGGAUAACAUGGAUCACAAGUAUUUUGAUGGCAGGGUUAUUUUUAUUGAUCUUGCAAAACCAAGGUCAAAUGAGUUUGGCGGAUAUCCAAGAACGUCAGGACCCCCUGAGGAGCAGCAUAUGCCUGCUGAAGAUGAAGACAAUGAAUGAGCAAAAUGCAGCAAUUAGGAAACCUUUGAGACUUCUUAAGCAUGGACUUGACUAGGCAAUUGGAAUUUUCUGCUGGUUCUGAUUCUACACAUUUUUCGGCUUCUCUCUUCCCAAUCUGUUGCACUUGAUUUUUCUGAGAGCUGCUGAGAAGAUGACUACAUCAGUGACAGCAUUAUCUGUACUUGAAAGCUCAAUGGCAGUGCCUGAAAAACCUCUCUCGCCACUAUCACCACCAACUGUUUCAUGCUGCCCUAGAAAACAGCCUGAGAUGAAAGUCUCAUGGCCUCGCUCGACUAGAACUCCUUGGGUUGUGAAAUGGAUGAAGUAGCAGUUGUUAAUGCGGAUUCUUGCAGCAUCAAUUACAAAAAGUCCUCCACCUUGGUAGCUUGAGUCAAAGAGUAUGUCCCUGAAAGUAACAUCUUCAUAGUAGAUGCCACUGUUUUGGUCUUCCCUGUCUGAAAGGCCAUGAAGAUGAUGAAUGGUAGUACUUUCUUUUUCAAGUUUUCUUGAGUUUGGGGACCAUAGCUCAAUCAGAUGCCUAUGUCCUGGAAAUGUGUUGGAUGCUCUUAAAGUGCCUCCUUGAACCUACUGGGCAAGAAAAGAACUGGUCGAAAGUCAGAAACUUAGAAUGAACAAUCACAAUCCUGUAUCAAGCAUUUUAAAACCCUCUAGUCAAAGUCUUCUUCAUAUUUCAUUCACGAAUUACAAGCUUGUUUUUGACUAUUUGUACAGAAUAAAACUUCUUUAUUCAUUCA